CAAUUUUCUGCCACCGAAUACAUUAGCAUGGGAUAAUGGAAUAGGACCCUGUCCUCCUAUUUUCAGUUGGUUUUGGCAGCGCGAGGACUAGGGUAAUGAUUAAUAGGGAUAGUUGGGGGCAUUAAUAUUUAAUUGUCAGAGGUGAAAUUCUUGGAUUUAUGAAAGAUUAACUUCUGCGAAAGCAUCUGCCAAGGAUGUUUUCAUUAAUCAAGAACGAAAGUUAGGGGAUCGAAGACGAUCAGAUACCGUCGUAGUCUUAACCAUAAACGAUGCCGACCAGCGAUUAGGAGACGUUGAAUACAAAACACCACCAUCGGUUGCGGUCAUCCUUGGCGUCUCGGUUUCGGCCGGGGCGCGGGGAUGGCUUAGCCCGGUGGCACCGGUGAAUGACU
rnacentral:rRNA from 1 species